rnacentral:rRNA from 1 species
UACGUAGGUCCCGAGCGUUGUCCGGAUUUAUUGGGCGUAAAGCGAGCGCAGGUGGUUUAUUAAGUCUGGUGUAAAAGGCAGUGGCUCAACCAUUGUAUGCAUUGGAAACUGGUAGACUUGAGUGCAGGAGAGGAGAGUGGAAUUCCAUGUGUAGCGGUGAAAUGCGUAGAUAUAAGGAAGAACACCAGUGGCGAAGGCGGAUGACUGGACGGCAACUGACGGUGAGGCGCGAAAGCGUGGGGAGCAAACAGG